GAUGAAGAACGCAGCGAAAUGCGAUAAGUAGUGUGAAUUGCAGAAUUUAGUGAAUCAUCGAAUCUUUGAACGCACAUUGCGCCCUAUAGUAUUCUGUAGGGCAUGCCUGUUCGAGCGUUAUUGAGACCUCAAGCUCUGCUUGGAAAUGGGCGCUUGUCUUGCCUUGCAGACUCGCCUUAAAACCAUUGGCAGCUGAUUUACAAUGUUUGGUGCACAGUACAUGAGCCCAAGUGUCGCAAUGAGUGGCCCAAAAGUAUACAAUAGAAGCUUAACCUCGGAUCAGGUAGGGAUACCCGCUGAACUUAAGCAUAUCAAUAAGCGGAGGA
rnacentral:misc_RNA from 1 species